rnacentral:misc_RNA from 1 species
GAUGAAGACGUAGCGAAAUGCGAUACUUGGUGUGAAUUGCAGAAUCCCGUGAACCAUCGUGUCUUUGAACGCAAGUUGCGCCCGAAGCCAUUAGGCCGAGGGCACGCCUGCCUGGGCGUCACACGUCGUUGCCCCCCCAUCUACUCCUUCGGGAUUGCGGGGGGCGGAUGAUGGCCUCCCGUGCGCCUCGUCGCGCGGUUGGCAUAAAUGCCAAGUCCUCGGCGACGCACGCCACGACAAUCGGUGGUUGCGAAACCUCGGUUGCCCGUCGUGUGCGGUCGUCGCGCAUCGAGGGCUCGAAAAAAUUGCCGGGCUCCGGCUCGGCUUUCAACGCGACCCCAGGUCAGGCGGGGUUACCCGCUGAAUUUAAGCAUAUCAAUAAGCGGAGGA